GAUGAACGCUGGCGGCGUGCCUAAUACAUGCAAGUCGGGCGAACAGACGAGGAGCUUGCUCCUCUGACGUUAGCGGCGGACGGGUGAGUAACACGUGGAUAACCUACCUAUAAGACUGGGAUAACUUCGGGAAACCGGAGCUAAUACCGGAUAAUAUAUUGAACCGCAUGGUUCAAUAGUGAAAGACGGUUUUGCUGUCACUUAUAGAUGGAUCCGCGCCGCAUUAGCUAGUUGGUAAGGUAACGGCUUACCAAGGCAACGAUGCGUAGCCGACCUGAGAGGGUGAUCGGCCACACUGGAACUGAGACACGGUCCAGACUCCUACGGGAGGCAGCAGUAGGGAAUCUUCCGCAAUGGGCGAAAGCUUGACGGAGCAACGCCGCGUGAGUGAUGAAGGUCUUCGGAUCGUAAAACUCUGUUAUUAGGGAAGAACAAAUGUGUAAGUAACUAUGCACGUCUUAACGGUACCUAAUCAGAAAGCCACGGCUAACUACGUG
rnacentral:rRNA from 1 species